rnacentral:rRNA from 1 species
GACGAACGCUGGCGGCGUGCUUAACACAUGCAAGUCGAACGGUGACGAUCAAGCUUGCUUGGUCUGAUCAGUGGCGAACGGGUGAGUAACACGUGAGUAACCUGCCCCUGACUCUGGGAUAACCCCGGGAAACCGGAGCUAAUACCGGAUACGACACGCCUCCGCAUGGGGAGCGUGUGGAAAGUUUUUCGGUCUGGGAUGGACUCGCGGCCUAUCAGCUUGUUGGUGAGGUAAUGGCUCACCAAGGCGACGACGGGUAGCCGGCCUGAGAGGGCACAAGGCAACGCUGGGACUGAGAAAGGGCCAAGACUCUUACGGGAGGCAGCAGUGGGGAAUAAUGCAUAAUGGGCGAAAGCCUGAUGCAGCGACGCCGCGUGAGGGAUGACGGACUUCGGGUUGUAAACCUCUUUCAGCAGGGAAGAAGCGCAAGUGACGGUACCUGCAGAAGAAGCGCCGGCUAACUACGUGCCAGCCGCCGCCGUAAUAC